AUUGAACGCUGGCGGCAGGCCUAACACAUGCAAGUCGAGCGGAGCUGCGGCCGGGCGAGUAAUGCCUAGGAAUCUGCCUGGUCUUGGGGGAUAACGUCCGGAAACGGGCGCUAAUACCGCAUCCUAUCAGCUGAGCCUAGGUCGGAUUAGCUAGUUGGUGGGGUAAGGGCUUACCAUGGCGACGAUCCGUAACUGGUCUGAGAGGAUGAUCAGUCACACUGGAACUGAGACACGGUCCAGACUCCUACGGGAGGCAGCAGUGGGGAAUAUUGGACAAUGGGCGAAAGCCUGAUCCAGCCAUGCCGCGUGUGUGAAGAAGGUCUUCGGAUUGUAAAGCACUUUAAGUUGGGAGGCGUUACCAACAGAAUAAGCACCGGCUAACUUCGUGCCAGCAGCCGCGGUAAUUC
rnacentral:rRNA from 1 species